AGUAAAAUGCCUGAUUAAAGGGUUAUCGUGAUAGGAUAAAUAAUGUAAUUCUUAUUACUUUUACUA
rnacentral:tRNA from 1 species